rnacentral:rRNA from 1 species
AACGAACGCUGGCGGCAGGCCUAACACAUGCAAGUCGAGCGAGGACUUCGGUUCUAGCGGCGGACGGGUGAGUAACGCGUGGGAAUGUGCCCUUCUCUACGGAAUAGCCCUGGGAAACUGGGAGUAAUACUGUAUACGCCCUUUUGGGGAAAGAUUUAUCGGAGAAGGAUCAGCCCGCGUUGGAUUAGGUAGUUGGUGGGGUAAUGGCCUACCAAGCCGACGAUCCAUAGCUGGUUUGAGAGGAUGAUCAGCCACACUGGGACUGAGACACGGCCCAGACUCCUACGGGAGGCAGCAGUGGGGAAUCUUAGACAAUGGGGGCAACCCUGAUCUAGCCAUGCCGCGUGAGUGAUGAAGGCCUUAGGGUUGUAAAGCUCUUUCAGCUGGGAAGAUAAUGACGGUACCAGCAGAAGAAGCCCCGGCUAACUCCGUG